GUAGGGUGCGAGCGUUGUCCGGAAUUAUUGGGCGUAAAGGGCUCGUAGGCGGUCUGUCACGUCGGGAGUGAAAACUCAGGGCUUAACCCUGAGCCUGCUUCCGAUGCGGGCAGACUAGAGGUAUGCAGGGGAGAACGGAAUUCCUGGUGUAGCGGUGAAAUGCGCAGAUAUCAGGAGGAACACCGGUGGCGAAGGCGGUUCUCUGGGCAUUACCUGACGCUGAGGAGCGAAAGUGUGGGGAGCGAACAGGAUUAGAUACCCUGGUAGUCCACACCGUAAACGUUGGGCGCUAGGUGUGGGACUCAUUCCACGAGUUCCGUGCCGCAGCUAACGCAUUAAGCGCCCCGCCUGGGGAGUACGGCCGCAAGGCUA
rnacentral:rRNA from 1 species